rnacentral:tRNA from 1 species
GCAUUGUUGGUUUAGUGGUAAAAUCCGUCGUUGCCAUCGACGGGCCCCGUGUUCGAUUCACGGACAAUGCA